rnacentral:rRNA from 1 species
UAGAUACCCUGGUAGUCCACGCUGUAAACGAUGUCGAUUUGGAGUUUGUUGCCUAGAGUGAUGGGCUCCGAAGCUAACGCGAUAAAUCGACCGCUGGGGAGUACGGCCGCAAGGUUAAAACUCAAAUGAAUUGACGGGGGCCCGCACAAGCGGUGGAGCAUGUGGUUUAAUUCGAUGCAACGCGAAGAACCUUACCUGGUCUUGACAUCCAUAGAAUUCUGCAGAGAUGUGGGAGUGCCUUCGGGAACUAUGAGACAGGUGCUGCAUGGCUGUCGUCAGCUCGUGUUGUGAAAUGUUGGGUUAAGUCCCGCAACGAGCGCAACCCUUAUUCUUUGUUGCCAGCGAUUUGGUCGGGAACUCAAAGGAGACUGCCGUUGAUAAAGCGGAGGAAGGUGGGGACGACGUCAAGUCAUCAUGGCCCUUACGACCAGGGCUACACACGUGCUACAAUGGCGUAUACAAAGGGAAGCGAAGGUGCGAGCUGGAGCGGAUCUCAUAAAGUACGUCUAAGUUCGGAUUGGAGUCUGCAACUCGACUCCAUGAAGUCGGAAUCGCUAGUAAUCGUAGAUCAGAAUGCUACGGUGAAUACGUUCCCGGGCCUUGUACACACCGCCCGUCACACCAUGGGAGUGGGUUGCACCAGAAGUAGAUAGCUUAACCGCGAGGGGGGCGUUUACCACGGUGUGAUUCAUGACUGGGGUGAAGUCGUAACAAGGUAACCA